rnacentral:rRNA from 1 species
CCUACGGGAGGCUGCAGUGAGGAAUAUUGGUCAAUGGACGAGAGUCUGAACCAGCCAAGUAGCGUGAAGGAUGACUGCCCUAUGGGUUGUAAACUUCUUUUAUAUGGGAAUAAAAUGUUCCACGUGUGGGAUUUUGUAUGUACCAUAUGAAUAAGGAUCGGCUAACUCCGUGCCAGCAGCGGCGGUAAUACGGAGGUUCCGAGCGUUAUCCGGAUUUAUUGGGUUUAAAGGGAGCGUAGGUGGAUUGAUAAGUCAGUUGUGAAAGUUUGCGGCUCAACCGUAAAAUUGCAGUUGAAACUGGCAGUCUUGAGUACAGUAGAGGUGGACGGAAUUCGUGGUGUAGCGGUGAAAUGCGUAGAUAUCACGAAGAACUCCGAUUGCGAAGGCAGUUCACUGGACUGCAACUGACACUGAGGCUCGAAAGUGUGGGUAUCAAACAGGAUUAGAUACCCCUGUAGUC